rnacentral:rRNA from 1 species
UGCGGGGGGGGCAAGCGUUGUUCGGAAUUACUGGGCGUAAAGGGCUCGUAGGUGGCCAACUAAGUCACACGUGAAAUCCCUCGGCUUAACCGGGGAACUGCGUGUGAUACUGGAUGGCUUGAGUUUGGGAGAGGGAUGCGGAAUUCCAGGUGUAGCGGUGAAAUGCGUAGAUAUCUGGAGGAACACCGGUGGCGAAGGCGGCAUCCUGGACCGACACUGACACUGAGGAGCGAAAGCCAGGGGAGCAAACGGG